CACAGCAGCUUGCUCUCCUGGCUGGCUUCCCGCACCACCUGCAGCGCCACCCCGCGGCCGCCUGUGGCCUGGGACGGUGAAUAUCCUGGACUUGUCAGGGUAGAUGGGCUAGGAUUCUAGAGCCUAGAAUCAAUGCAACACUCCCUGGACCGCUGCUUUGCUGUUGUUAAUCCUGCUGACCUCACCUUUGUAGGACUUCAGGCUAUUUUCCAUGGAUUUCAGAAGUUAUCCAGUGACGGAGAAUGAGACAGCUAUAAAGAUACCAGCCACUGAACAUUCCAUCAAGGGAUCCCAGAAAAGACACAUCCCUCCAUUACUUGCUUCUUGGUUCAUACCAAAACCAGGGAACUAAAGUAUCAGCAAGGGCCCCUGGAGGUUGCUCUCAUGUGAAUGUCCAAAGCACCAGAGCAGUGUUGUCCAAUACAUUCUGUGAUGAUGCCGUGUAUACAGUGACGUGCCCUGUCUAUGCACUGACCAAUACAGGGUAGCUACUGUGCCCUUGGAAUGUGGCUGGUGAGACAACAGGACCGAAGUUUUGGCUGUAAUCAUUUUAAUUAAUUAAAAUUGCCACACAUG
rnacentral:antisense_RNA from 1 species